GACGAACGCUGGCGGCGUGCUUAACACAUGCAAGUCGAACGAUGAAGCCCUUUCGGGGGUGGAUUAGUGGCGAACGGGUAGAGUAACACGUGGGUAACCUGCCCUGUACCCUGGGAUAAGCCUUGGAAACGAGGUCUAAUACCGGAUAUGACCUGCUCUCGCAUGGGGGUGGGUGGGAAAGUUUUGGCGGUGCAGGAUGGACCCGCGGCCUAUCAGCUUGUUGGUGGGGUGAUGGCCUACCAAGGCGACGACGGGUAGCCGGCCUGAGAGGGCGACCGGCCACACUGGGACUGAGACACGGCCCAGACUCCUACGGGAGGCAGCAGUGGGGAAUAUUGCACAAUGGGCGAAAGCCUGAUGCAGCGACGCCGC
rnacentral:rRNA from 1 species